AUUGAACGCUGGCGGCAGGCCUAACACAUGCAAGUCGAACGGCAGCGGGGGGUAGCUUGCUACCCCGCCGGCGAGAGGCGGACGGGUGAGUAAUGCCUGGGGAGCUGCCCAAUCGAGGGGGAUACCAGUUGGAAACGACUGCUAAUACCGCAUACGCCCUGAGGGGGAAAGGUGAGGAUCUUCGGACCUACCGCGAUUGGAUGCACCCAGGUGGGAUUAGCUAGUUGGUGAGGUAACGGCUCACCAAGGCGACGAUCUCUAGCUGGUCUGAGAGGAUGACCAGCCACACUGGAACUGAGACACGGUCCAGACUCCUACGGGAGGCAGCAGUGGGGAAUAUUGCACAAUGGGGGAAACCCUGAUGCAGCCAUGCCGCGUGUGUGAAGAAGGCCUUCGGGUUGUAAAGCACUUUCAGCGAGGAGGAAAGGUGGCUAGCUAAUACCUAGUUGCUGUGACGUUACUCGCAGAAGAAGCACCGGCUAACUCCGUGCCAGCCGCCGCAGUAA
rnacentral:rRNA from 1 species